AUGGUCUAUGAAAAAUUUCAUUGCAUGAUUUAUUUUACCGAACUUCCUGAUUCGCUGUUUGAUCUUGAUCUCGAUCUAGAUUUAGAUCUGGAUACAGACCGUGAUCUAGACUUAGACCUGGAUCGAGAUCUGGACUUAGACAUGGAUCUAGACCUGGAUCUAGAUCUGGACUUAGACAUGGAUCUAGACCUGGACUUGGACCUGGACCUAGACUUGGAUCUUGAUCUGGACUUAGAUCUUGCAGAUCCAGAUCUAUCUGACCUAUUGGACCUGGCAGAAGUGACUGAUUUAGCAUCAUCAUCAUCUGAUCCUUUCUCUUCAUCACUCUUAUCAUCUUUGCUCGCGUCCUUGUCCUUAUCUUUUUCCCCUUCUUCAUUCUUUUCUCCUUCCUUCUCUUCCUCCUCUUCUUCCUCUUCUUCUUCAUCUUCUUCUUCCUCUUCUUCUCCGGGCGGUUCCAGUUGUUUCUCACGCAUUCGGUGAUUCUUAAACUCGGCUGCGUCAGUUGGUCUAUGUUUGAGGACUAACCUUGUAAAGCUGAGAGCUUGACCUGGCUGACGUCUCUUAGUGAGUCGGACUCUGAAAAAAUCAAAAUUAGACUUGUCAGAGGAUGUCUGAUAAUUUAUUUAUUGAAAGGCUUUGUUGAUAAGGCCGAUCAGGCAUACGCAUGUCAGUUGUGGGCUUGCGCUGCAACUCGAACAUACCGAAGAUGGAGACAAUCCAAAGCAAAACAUUAAGGCAAAGCGCGGGAACAAAAUGGUGUAUGAGGAAUGAGGAUAUUAGAUCAGAACUCGGUGUAGAAAGUAUGGACGUCUUCGUCUCCCGUAUGUACGGAAGAUAUGAGGAUCGUCUGGUAUCCCACACCAAUACGGAGGCAAUCAAGCUUCUGGACUGGUUGGGGGAGACCAGGCAGUUAAAGCUUAGGCAGACGCAUGAGCUUUGCAUCCCUGACUCCAAAAAAGUCUAGCUAUUUAACGCACCACGCUCCAAAGGCUCUGUUCCCCUCUAUCUUUGUCGAUAAGGGAAAAUCCAAAAAUUAAAAGACAGGUUGGCUGCUAACACAGUUUAACCCCCAUAGGUUAUAGUUAGGAUUUUUAGCACUUUUUGCCAUUCCUUUUUUUUUAAAUCUUCUAUUACCCAUUACAACCAUGUUUUCAUUUCUAUUUUUUUUUACAUAAUUCGGACUUCCCUAUAUCUGAGGGGAAACCUGGGUCGGGGUUCUCUCUCUGUGCAGCUGUUGGGCCGGUCGUUCGGGGGCGGACCCUCGGCCAGCCCACCCCUCCUAUCACUUUUGUUUUUAUUUUACUUUCUUCUGACAGUUUUCUUCUCUUACCCAAAAAGUGCUUGUAGAAUUUUUAAGUAACAUUAAAUAUUCAAAUAAACUGUAAAAAGCCCAGUUUGUUGAUCUGAACAUUCUAUUGUAUGCACUAUAAUUUUGUAUAACACUGAAUAAGAAAAAAAAAAUUAAUAGUAGUAUCACAAAAUAGAAUGUUGUUAUAUGCAGUCCUUUUAGGAAAAUGAAAUGGGAAAGUGAAUUUUUUUCCCUUUUUUUUCAGCAGAUAUACUCAAAGCCUAGACAGCGAGGGAUGUGUUAAACGAUUAAACUUUUUAGACUACUGUACACUAUUUUAACAACUAAAUAUAAUGAAUACGUAGAUAUUAUUGACCCUUUUUUACCACAUAAUAAAUCAUUAUUAUACCUCUUGAUUAUCUGUACUAUCUCAAAUAAUUACAAACAAAUUUCAUCCGCAGUCAAAAUCUAAUUUUAAAAAUAAAAUUGCUCAUUGUGCAAGCACAUCAUACAUGGAGCUCAAUCAAUUAAAAGAACAGAAAUAGGAGAUCUGAGAGGUAAAGCACUGACCUGGUCUCUAAUUCAUCGUAAAAUACACCAUCUUCUCGCAUGACGAACAAGUAAUUCUCUUCGUAGCCCUUUGAAGCUUUAUUCUUGACAUUCCAAUUGUAAUCCCGAGCAAUUUUGUACUCAUAUUCUUCAUCAUCAACAUAGUCAACAUUGUUUGUGAAGUCUCUCUUUCUCUUUCUAGAGUUUCCUCAGUCGGUAAAAAGUAAGCGACAAACUGGUUACCUUCCUCAUCCAUCACACCCCUGAAAAAAAUUUAUAUCAAAUAAUGUGAGAAAAAUCAUCUGAUUGAAAUUGAACAUACAUAAAAGAUACACAAUUUUGCUGCUAGCAUGAUAAGUUCAAUUAAUUGUUUCAGUUAAUUAUUCGUCUUUUUCUUACCAAAUUUGAAAUAAAUACCAGAUGCAGCGAAAAUUAUCAAUAAAAUGAAGAGACUAUGAAAACAGAGCUCGAUUGCAGUUUUCAGCUCAGCCGAUAGGCGGCAGGUGCUUCUUGUUUUUGUUUUGCCACUAGAAUUCUUCUAUAGUAGAACAUUCAAGUCAUUGAAUAGCUCACCAACUCAACAAAACAUGGCCGACAAGAUUCUCAGAAUUUUCUUCUUACACAUUGUCACAUUGUCCUAUUAACAAAAAACAAGCAGAAAAGAAAUAAAAUCUUUCCAGAUUUCCAGAGACACUAAUUAAGGGAAUUUUUCUGUAGUGUUGAAGUUUAUAUCUACUUAUAAUGGUUAAAAAUCGUACCGAAUCAUGGCUUGUGACAUUUCCUCCUCUUGUUCUGCAGAUGACCGACCGGGUCGAGCUGGGUCAGAGUCAAAUAAAACUUGUGCAAAUGGAUACUUCCACAUCUGAAAAGAAAGAUACAAUGACAAUAAGUAACUAAAGUACAAUGAAAUCUUACCUAAAUUUUAGAGCAAGAUAGAGGUUUAACUGAUGAGAAGAUUUCCAG
rnacentral:lncRNA from 1 species